AUUGAACGCUGGCGGCAUGCCUUACACAUGCAAGUCGAACGGUAACAGGUCUUCGGAUGCUGACGAGUGGCGAACGGGUGAGUAAUACAUCGGAACGUGCCCGAUCGUGGGGGAUAACGAAGCGAAAGCUUUGCUAAUACCGCAUAAGAUCUACGGAUGAAAGCAGGGGACCGCAAGGCCUUGCGCGAACGGAGCGGCCGAUGGCGGAUUAGGUAGUUGGUGGGAUAAAAGCUUCCCAAGCCGACGAUCUGUAGCUGGUCUGAGAGGACGACCAGGCACACUGGGACUGAGACACGGCCCAGACUCCUACGGGAGGCAGCAGUGGGGAAGUGUGGACAAUGGGCGGAAGCCUGAUCCAGCCAUGCCGCGUGCAGGAUGAAGGCCUUCGGGUUGUAAACUGCUUUUGUACGGAACGAAAAGACUCUGGUUAAUACCUGGGGUCCAUGACGGUACCGUAAGAAUAAGCACCGGCUAACUACGUGCCAGCCGCCGCAGUAAAAC
rnacentral:rRNA from 1 species